rnacentral:rRNA from 1 species
UACGAAGGGCCCGAGCGUUGCGCGGAAUCACUGGGCUUAAAGGGUGCGCAGGCGGAUCCGUAAGUGUCUUGUGAAAGCCCACCGCUCAACGGUGGAAUUGCUUGGCAGACUGCGAAUCUUGAGAUGGGUAGAGGUAACCGGAACAAUAGGUGGAGCGGUGAAAUGCGUAGAUAUCUAUUGGAACGCCCAAGGCGAAGGCAGGUUACUGGGCCUAUUCUGACGCUGAGGCACGAAAGCGUGGGGAGCAAACAGG